rnacentral:rRNA from 2 species
AUUGAACGCUGGCGGCAGGCCUAACACAUGCAAGUCGAGCGGAUGAAGAGAGCUUGCUCUUGGAUUUAGCGGCGGACGGGUGAGUAAUGCCUAGGAAUCUGCCUAGUAGUGGGGGACAACAGUUGGAAACGACUGCUAAUACCGCAUACGUCCUACGGGAGAAAGUGGGGGAUCUUCGGACCUCACGCUAUUAGAUGAGCCUAGGUACGAUUAGCUAGUUGGUGGGGUAAAGGCCUACCAAGGCGACGAUCGUUAACUGGUCUGAGAGGAUGAUCAGUCACACUGGAACUGAGACACGGUCCAGACUCCUACGGGAGGCAGCAGUGGGGAAUAUUGGACAAUGGGGGCAACCCUGAUCCAGCCAUGCCGCGUGUGUGAAGAAGGUCUUCGGAUUGUAAAGCACUUUAAGUUGGGAGGAAGGGCAGUAAGUUGAUUGCCUUACUGUUUUGACGUUACACAACAGAAUAAGCACCGGCUAACUCUGUGCCAGCAGCCGCGGUAAUACACAGCGUGCGAGCGUUAAUCGGAAUUACUGGGCGUAAAGCGCGCGGUAGGUGGUGGCGUAAGUUGAAGUGAAAUCCCCGGGCUUAACCUGGGAACUGCCUCCAAACUGCGUGGCUAGAGUACGGUAGAGGGUAGUGGAAUUUCCUGUGUAGCGGUGAAAUGCGUAGAUAUAGGAAGGAACACCAGUGGCGAAGCGACUACCUGGACUGAUACUGAACACUGAGGUGCGAAAGCGUGGGGGAGCAAACAGGAUUAGAUACCCUGGUAGUCACGCGUAAACGAUGUCAACUAGCCGUUGGGCUCCUGAGAGCUUAGUGGCGCAGCUAACGCAUUAAGUUGACCGCCUGGGGAGUACGGCCGCAAGGUUAAAACUCAAAUGAAUUGACCGGGGCCCGCACAAGCGGUGGAGCAUGUGGUUUAAUUCGAAGCAACGCGAAGAACCUUACCUGGCCUGGACAUGCUGAGAACUUUCCAGAGAUGGAUUGGUGCCUUCGGGAACUCAGACACAGGUGCUGCAUGGCUGUCGUCAGCUCGUCUCGUGAGAUGUUGGAUUAAGUCCCGUAACGCACUUGCGCUAUACACGAUUGACCUGAAUUACCAGCACGAUAUGAAUGCGCAUCAUGCUAAGCUAGACUGCCGGUGACAAACCGGAGGAAGGUGGGGAUGACGUCAAGUCAUCAUGGCCCUUACGGCCAGGGCUACACACGUGCUACAAUGGUAGGUACAGAGGGUUGCCAAGCCGUGAGGUGGAGCUAAUCUCACAAAACCUAUCGUAGUCCGGAUUGGAGUCUGCAACUCGACUCCAUGAAGUCGGAAUCGCUAGUAAUCGUGAAUCAGAAUGUCACGGUGAAUACGUUCCCGGGCCUUGUACACACCGCCCGUCACACCAUGGGAGUGGGUUGCUCCAGAAGUAGCUAGUCUAACCUUCGGGGGGACGGUUACCACGGAGUGAUUCAUGACUGGGGUG